rnacentral:rRNA from 1 species
AGGGUCAUUGGAAACUGGGAGACUUGAGUGCAGAAGAGGAGAGUGGAAUUCCAUGUGUAGCGGUGAAAUGCGUAGAUAUAUGGAGGAACACCAGUGGCGAAGGCGGCUCUCUGGUCUGUAACUGACGCUGAGGCUCGAAAGCGUGGGGAGCGAACAGGAUUAGAUACCCUGGUAGUCCACGCCGUAAACGAUGAGUGCUAAGUGUUGGAGGGUUUCCGCCCUUCAGUGCUGCAGCAAACGCAUUAAGCACUCCGCCUGGGGAGUACGACCGCAAGGUUGAAACUCAAAGGAAUUGACGGGGGCCCGCACAAGCGGUGGAGCAUGUGGUUUAAUUCGAAGCAACGCGAAGAACCUUACCAGGUCUUGACAUCCUUUGACCACUCUAGAGAUAGAGCUUUCCCUUCGGGGACAAAGUGACAGGUGGUGCAUGGUUGUCGUCAGCUCGUGUCGUGAGAUGUUGGGUUAAGUCCCGCAACGAGCGCAACCCUUAUUGUUAGUUGCCAUCAUUUAGUUGGGCACUCUAGCGAGACUGCCGGUGACAAACCGGAGGAAGGUGGGGAUGACGUCAAAUCAUCAUGCCCCUUAUGACCUGGGCUACACACGUGCUACAAUGGGAAGUACAACGAGUUGCGAAGUCGCAAGGCUAAGCGAAUCUCUUAAAACUUCUCUCAGUUCGGAUUGUAGGCUGCAACUCGCCUACAUGAAGCCGGAAUCGCUAGUAAUCGCGGAUCAGCACGCCGCGGUGAAUACGUUCCCGGGCCUUGUACACACCGCCCGUCACACCACGAGAGUUUGUAACACCCGAAGUCGGUGAGGUAACCUUUAUGGAGCCAGCCGCCUAAGGUGGGAUAGAUGAUUGGGGUG